GAUGAACGCUGGCGGCGUGCCUAAUACAUGCAAGUCGAGCGAACAGACGAGGAGCUUGCUCCUCUGACGUUAGCGGCGGACGGGUGAGUAACACGUGGAUAACCUACCUAUAAGACUGGGAUAACUUCGGGAAACCGGAGCUAAUACCGGAUAAUAUAUUGAACCGCAUGGUUCAAUAGUGAAAGACGGGUUUGCUGUCACUUAUAGAUGGAUCCGCGCCGCAUUAGCUAGUUGGUAAGGUAACGGCUUACCAAGGCAACGAUGCGUAGCCGACCUGAGAGGGUGAUCGGCCACACUGGAACUGAGACACGGUUCAGACUCCUACGGGAGGCAGCAGUAGGGAAUCUUCCGCAAUGGGCGAAAGCCUGACGGAGCAACGCCGCGUGAGUGAUGAAGGUCUUCGGAUCGUAAAACUCUGUUAUUAGGGAAGAACAACUGUGUAAGUAACUAUGCACGUCUUGACGGUACCUAAUCAGAAUGCCACGGCUAACUACGUG
rnacentral:rRNA from 1 species